CUGAACUCUACCUCUGAAUCUAAUAAUACACUAUAUGUUAAUUAAUUAAAUUUAAAUUUUAAAAAAAGAGAAAAAAAGGAAAGAAAAAGACUCAACUGGGACAAGACAGGGGUCUUUCCCCACCUCCAGAGAGGACCCUGCACUUGGCUAUGCUGCCACCUCUCAGCCCUCUGUCUCCACCCAAGGGAGACCCCUUGGGCCCCUCAAAACCCAGCUAAGAGUACCAGAAAGGAAAGCCACUGCCCACUUCACACUAACCACAAGCGCACAGCUCUGCAUUUAGAACAGGUGACCCAUGGUGACUGGAUGGUGCACACUCUAGAACCAGCCUGUGGGUCCGAAAUACCUCAUCACCCUUUCACAAGGAAGAACCACUUGAGGACAUAAGCAGAUUCCAGAAAGCCAAAGAAUAAAACCCAGCAGUCUUAUCUAAAUUGUGAACAAAAUCAUAAGUAAUGUAAGAGUGGAAAGAAACCAAAUGUUUAAAAAACUUUGUAAGAAAAGCAGCAAAUAUCAUGAGGAACCAUGAAAUGCUUAAAAUAGAGAAGUCAGAAACAGAGAUGUUUACUAUCAUCCCUGGUACUCAGAAUGGUUUUAGUACUAUUAGCCAAUAAAAUCAGAUGAGAAAAUAAAAGUAUUACACAGAAAAAAAGAAACAAAAAAUGAGCUUCCCCCACAGGUGAUAUGAUCUCGGACUUGGAAACCUCAGGACAUCACGCGAAGCCCUGUGAAUCAGAAUCAGGACGGGACCCCAGGAAGUUGGCUGGUUCCGGCCACAGAAUGAAGGAGCAAGCCAAGCUCUUCUCCCAGGACGUUAUGCAGAUCAACCUGGACCAAAUCAGACCUUCUGCAAACACAUCAUGCUCUAGAACUGCUAUGGUGUCAGAAAAUUUCCAUCAUUUGUAAAGAGAAAUACUAUGAUGAACCCCCAGAUGCCGUCAUCUGGUCCAGCCCGGGGUUCCGUGCUCAUCACACUCUUCCCCAGCAGCAAGAGUGUCACAGCACACCUGAGACCUUGGGUCUACUUUAUCUGGAGAUGUUUCCAUAUGCGUCGUAAAAAACAGGGAUCCCUUUGUAUGCAUGCCCAGAACACCAUCAGCACCCUGCAAGGAUUUAGUGCACAUCCUUAGUGUGCAGCCUGUGUUCGCACCUCCUUGGGCACCUCAGUGUUCUCUGGAAGGUCUGUUCUCAUCAGAAACCCAGGUUUCCGGUUGAGUCCCUGAAUGCCAGCGGAGAAACUGAUGUUG
rnacentral:lncRNA from 1 species